rnacentral:lncRNA from 1 species
CUGGCAUUUCUCCCCAUGUUAUCCCUCCCUACCCACUGUCUCUCCCCAACCUCCCCCCCACUGCCUCCAGUGUGUGAUGCCCUUUUCCCUGAGUUCACAUGUUCUCAUUCUUCAAUACCCACCUAUGACUGAGAACAUUCAGUGUUUGGCUUUCUGUUCUUGUGUCAGUUUUCUGAGAAUGAUGGUUUCCAGACUCAUCCAAGUCACUACAAAGGACACGAACUUUUCAUUUUUUAUGACUGCAUAGUAUUCCAUGGUGUAUAUGUACCACAUUUUCUUUGUCCAUUCUAUCAUUGAUGGGCAUUUGGGUUGGUUCCAGGUCUUUGCUGUUGUACACGGGGCUGCAAUGAACAUACAGGUGCAUGUGUCUUUAUAGUAGAACAAUUUAUAGUUCUUUGGGCAUAUACCCAGUAAUGGGAUUGCUGAGUCAAAUGGAAUUUCUAUUUCUGGAUUCUUGAUGAAUUGCCACACUGUCUUCCACAAUGGUUGAACCAAUUUACACUCCCACCAACUGUGUAAGAGUGUUCCUAUUUCUCUACAUCCUCUCCAGCAUCUGUUGUCUCCAGAUUUUUUAAUGAUCGCCAUUCUAACUGGAGUGAGAUAUGGUUUUGAUUUGCAUUUCUUCUAAUGACCAGUGAUGAUGAGCAUUUUUUCAUAUGUUUAUUGGCCUCAUAUAUGUCUUCUUUUGAAAAGUGUUCAUAUCCUUUGCUCACUUUUGAAUGGGGUUGUUGGUUUUUUACUUGUAUAUCUGUUUUAGUUCUUUGUAGAUUCUGGAUAUUAGAUUUUAAAAGAACAGAUUUUUUGUUUUGUUGCUUUUCUUCAUUUUUUUUUUCUACUUUGUUUUUAUCUGCUAAUUGCUGGCAAUGAAAU